GGACAGGUGGCAGAGCGGUUGAAUGCGCUAGUCUCGAAAACUAGUAUACACUUCGGUGUAUCGAGGGUUCGAAUCCCUCCCUGUCCG
rnacentral:tRNA from 3 species